rnacentral:rRNA from 1 species
GCUUACACAUGCGAGUCGAGUGCGCGUUCCGGUAGCAAUACCGGGAUGGCGCACGGCGCACGGGUGCGUAACACGUGGGCAAUCUGCCCUCCGAUGGGGAAUAACUCCGGGAAACCGAAGCUAAUUCCGCAUAACAUUCCCUGGACUCCGGUUCGGGGAAUCAAAGCAGUGAUGCGUCGGAGGAGGAGCCCGCGCCCGAUUAGCUAGUUGGUGAGGUAAUGGCUCACCAAGGCAAUGAUCGGUAGCUGGUCUGAGAGGAUGGCCAGCCACACUGGAACUGAGACACGGUCCAGACUCCUACGGGAGGCAGCAGUGGGGAAUCUUGCGCAAUGGGCGAAAGCCUGACGCAGCGACGCCGCGUGGGGGAUGAAGCUUCUCGGAGUGUAAACCCCUUUCGACUGGGACGAAUGCCCGCAAGGGAGUGACGGUACCAGUAGAAGAAGCCCCGGCUAACUACGUGCCAGCAGCCGCGGUAAGACGUAGGGGGCCAGCGUUGUUCGGAAUUACUGGGUGCAAAGGGUUCGUAGGCGGUGUGGCAAGUCGGGAGUGAAAUCUUUGGGCUUAACUCAAAGGCUGCUUCCGAAACUGCUGUGC